rnacentral:rRNA from 1 species
UGGGGAAUCUUGGACAAUGGGGGCAACCCUGAUCCAGCCAUGCCGCGUGAGUGAAGAAUGCCCUAGGGUUGUAAAACUCUUUCAGCGGGGAAGAUAAUGACGGUACCCGCAGAAGAAGCUCCGGCUAACUUCGUGCCAGCAGCCGCGGUAAUACGAAGGGGGCUAGCGUUGUUCGGAAUUACUGGGCGUAAAGCGCGCGUAGGCGGAUUAUUAAGUCAGAGGUGAAAGCCCGGAGCUCAACUCCGGAAUUGCCUUUGAUACUGGUAGUCUUGAGUAUGGAAGAGGUAAGCAGAAUUCCGAGUGUAGAGGUGAAAUUCGUAGAUAUUCGGAGGAAUACCAAAGGCGAAGGC